UCACCUCUCUCUCAUCUGUGUCUCACCUGUCCAUACUCACCUGUCUCUCUCACCUGUGUCUCACCUGUCCAUACUCACCCGUAUCUCACCUGUACCUCACCUGUGUCCCUUACCUGCCCAUGUCUCACCUGUGGCUCUCUCACCUGUCCCACCUGUCUGUGUCUCACCUGUCUGUGUCUCACCUGUAUCUCACCUUCUGUCUCUCUCACCUGUAUCUCACCUGUCCAUACUCACCUGUCUCAGUUGUCUCUCACCUGUGUCUCUCUCACCUGUCCAUAUCUCACCUGUCUCACCUGUCUCUCACCUGUCUCACCUGUCCUGCCUAUCGCUCACCUCUCCCAUCCCUAUCACCUGUCCCCUCUCCCUCACCUGUCUCUCACCUGUCCCUCACCCAUAUCUCACCUGUCCAUGUCUCACCUGUCCCUCACCCAUAUCUCACCUGUCCAUGUCUCACCUGUCCAUACACACCUGUGUCUCACCUGUCCAUGUCUCACCUGUGUCUCUCACCUAUAUCUCACCUGUCCAUGUCUCACCUCUCACCUGUCCUUCAUAUGUCUCACCUGUGUCUCACCUGCCCCUCACCUGUGUCUCUCUCUCAUCUGUCCAUGUCACCUCUCUGUCCCUCACCUGUCCCUCACCUGUGUCUCUCUCACCUGUCUCUCUUGCACCUGUGUCUCUCUCAGCUGUCUCUCACCUGUCCAUGUCUCACCUGUCUCUCUCUCUCACCUGUGUCUACCUGUGUCUCACCUGUGUCCCUCACCUGUCUCUCUUCCUCUCACCAAUCCCUCACCUGUCCCACACCUGUGUCUCACCUGUGCAUAUAUCACCUGUAUCUCACCUGUGUCCCUUACCUGUCCCUCACCCAUAUCUCACCUGUCCAUGUCUCACCUGUCUCACCUGUCCUUCAUAUAUGUCUCACCUGUAUCUCACCUGUGUCUCACCUGCCCCUCACCUGUGUCUCUCUCUCAUCUGUCCAUGUCACCUCUCUGUCCCUCACCUGUAUCUCACCUGUCCCUCACCUGUGUCUCUCUCAGCUGUCUCUCUCACACCUGUGUCUCUCUCACCUGUAUCUCACCUGUCCAUACUCACCUGUCUCACCUGUCUCUCUCUCUCACCUGUGUCUCACCUGUGUCCCUCACCUGUCUCACCUGUCCAUACUCCCCUGUCUCUCUUUCUCUCACCUAUCCCUCACCUGUCCCACACCUGUGUCUCACCUGUGCAUAUCUCACCUGUGUCUCACCUGUGUCCCUCACCUGUGUCUCUCUCACCUGUCCCUAACUCACCUGUUUCUCUCUCUCUCACCUGUAUCUCACCCAUAUCUCACCUGUAUCUCACCUGUUUCUCACCUGUUUCUCACCUGUCUCUCACCUGUCCCUCACCCGUCCCUCACCUGUCCCUCACCUGUCCCUCACCUGUCCAUACUCA
rnacentral:lncRNA from 1 species